rnacentral:rRNA from 1 species
GACGAACGCUGGCGGCGUGCUUAACACAUGCAAGUCGAACGAAGUGGCGAACGGGUGAGUAACGCGUAAUCAACCUGCCCUUCAGAGGGGGACAACAGUUGGAAACGACUGCUAAUACCGCAUACUGAAGGAGGGGAUUGCGUCUGAUUAGCUAGUUGGAGGGGUAACGGACCACCACGGCGAGGAUCAGUAGCAGGUGUGAGAGGAUGAACGGCCACACUGGGACUGAGACAAGGCCCAGACUCAUACGGGAGGCAGCAGUGGGUAUUCUGCCGAUAUGGAAGAAAGUCUGACGGAGCAACGCCGAGUGAGUGAUGACGGCCUUCGGGUUGUAGAGCUCUGUUAAUCGGGACGCGGUACCGGAAUAGAAAGCCACGGCUAACUACGUGCCAGCAGCCGCGGUAAUUC